AACGAACGCUGGCGGCAUGCCUAACACAUGCAAGUCGAACGAGACCUUCGGGUCUAGUGGCGCACGGGUGCGUAACGCGUGGGAACCUGCCCUUAUGUUCGGAAUAACUCCCCGAAAGGGGUGCUAAUACCGGAUAAUGUCUUCGGACCAAAGAUUUAUCGCCUUUGGAUGGGCCCGCGUUGGAUUAGCUAGUUGGUAGGGUAAAAGCCUACCAAGGCUACGAUCCAUAGCUGGUCUGAGAGGAUGAUCAGCCACACUGGGACUGAGACACGGCCCAGAAUACUACGGGAGGGAGCAGUGGGGAAUAUUGGAAAAUGGGCGAAAGCAUGAUCCAGCAAUGCCGCGUGAGUGAUGAAGGCAUUAGGGUUGUAAAGCUCUUUUACCCGGGAUGAUAAUGACAGUACCGGGAGAAUAAGCUCCGGCUAACUCCGUG
rnacentral:rRNA from 1 species